AUAUUCUAAUAGGAGAUAAGGUAGAAAAGGAAAACUGAUAAGCAUGAAUUAAAGACAAUGAAAUAUCUCUGAAAUAAAGAGAGAAGAAAACAUCUAAAUAAUAUUCGUUGUUGACUUAUUUCCUUUUACAACCAUCUCUUAGAUUACAAAUUCAUAAUAACUAUGUUAUUGAAAUCAUAUAAUCUUAAAAUGACGUAACACAUUUACAAUAGUUGCCAGGAACACACUUAACUAUUGUGGGACGUCGGCACAUGAUUUUGGGACAAUCUAAAUCGUUUCGACAUUUAUUUUUCACCGCUAUUAGAGAAAAAAUAAUAAUUAAAUUGUAUAAAAAAAUUUAUAAAAGAAAAAGAAAAUUUUAAAAUGUAUAAGAUUGACUAACCUUCAACAUUCGUAAUAAGAAGAAAUAGAGAAAGGAAGAUGACUACAAAAUUAAAAAACUUCACCAUUACAUUCAUAUUUUCACACCUUUGCAUAUAAAAGAUGGUUUUAUUAUUU
rnacentral:lncRNA from 1 species